CAGACGGUUAUUAAAAUCGUUAAGUUUUUGUUCUAGGGUCACGAGUUUUUCAUCUAUUUGCUUGGCGAUAGUAUUUGCCACCUUAUCAGCGAUGAUUUUUAUGGAAUCCUCUGUUAAAAUUGAACUCAAGCUGCUACUUACAGCAUUUUUGAUUCUUCUUUUAUUUCUCGGGUAAUAACCAUUUUUCAUAUAGUUGGACUGUUUUUCAAGUCUUGACCUAUUUAACUUUUAUUUGGCCAAUUUUUAAACAAAGAACUUACUUUUGGUGAUUUUGCACACCACACAUCCCACACAUCACAGAUCCCAGAACGUUUAAUCAGAAGAACUCGAAGAUAUCAGUAGCGAGAGGUAGAUACCUAUGGAUUCUGAUAGGAAAAAUGCAGUCGUCAAAAACAUCCCCAGAAAAUGUUGGCAUCGUGGCUGUGACUAUCAAGGACAUGCAGUUGACCAUCGAAUGAAUUGUACAUUUAGGCUUGUUAUCUGCCCAAUGUUGUAUCAAACUGGUUGUACUUGGUGUGGAAAACUGAAGGAAGCAAGUAAACAUUGUUUUGAAGCACAUUCUAGUCUUGUAUUUUCGGGUCCACUGGAACUUGAGCUGUGUGAAUUUAGAUAUAUAGGAUUGAAUCCCUGUAAGAUAUUCUCCUAUCUUGCGUUCGAUAGGGUGUUCAGAUUUUCCAUGAAAUUCCAAGAACAAGAAAGAUUAUUCCUAACCGGUUGCUAUUAUUCUGGUGAACCAGCAGAGGAAGGUCGUUUUAGGUAUGAAAUGUCGUUCAUCAAAGGAAGCAGUCACGCCCUAGCUCCAAUAUUUGGUUCAGUGUGCUCUAAAAUGAAAUUCCCUUCUCGUAUUUUCGAUGAAACUUGUUAUUUAGGCAUAGAUUACUCAUCCUGGGAAGAAUUUUGCGAUAACGCUGGGUCAUUACAUAUAGGGAUAAAACUUUUUGAUAAUACUGAGGAAAACGAGUAAUCAUUUGUUGAUUUGUUAGGGUUGUCAUCGGCGUAAUUGGCAUAGAUUACAGUUUGAUAAAUAAUAAAAACAUAAUAAAGUUACGCUGAUUCAUAAAGUGUUUUAUUAAAGGAAUUGCUGUAGUGUUUCAGAGAAUUUUGUUCUUUUAUCCUUUUGGAAUUUGUAACUUAUUUCAGUGUUGACAAAUGAAAUAUAAUUUUUCGCACA